CCAGGGUCUGGUUUCAGGUUCUUCCGGGGAAGAAAAUGCAGAGAACACAGACUCCGUCGCCACGGGGAAGGGGCCGCCGAGCAGCAGCCGAAGGGGGUUCCGCCGGCAGGGCUCGAGGAGAUGCUCGCCCUGUCGCCGGCCACUCGGCUCCCCCUCCUCUCCUCCCCUGGACUCUGUCUUGCUCCUUGGGUCAGCAGCCCCUCACCCCUGCUCCAACGGCGAUGGCUGGGGCAGGGAAGUGAAGCAAGAGGAUCAAGUGUAAAAAAUAUGGCCGUGCUGGGCAGCGGGACCACAGUGGACGGCCGGACCACCCGCCACCCCAGGGCCAUCGUGGAAGUGGCCACUUCAGCCUUUCAGGGCCGCGCGCAAGGCUCUGCACCCCGUGUCUGCAUCCGGCGGUGCAGGGGGUGCUGGCCGCUCCAGGCCUUCCCUGGACCCAGAGGGACCAGCCCUCCCAGGCUGCCAACAGCUGACUGGGGGUCCAGGGCUGGUGGCUGGUCCGCUGCCCUGAGUGCCAUUGGUCACUAUUCACAGGGCAUCGCUAAAUGAAAGACAGAACAGCCACAGGUCAAGGUGCGGUGGAGGCCACCGUGGGGCUGGCAGGCUCCCGAGUCACUUUAUCGCCGCCACUCAACCAAGCCCCAUAGACUAAAGGCAACAGCAGAGCUGGAAGCAGGCUGGUGACGCGGGAGCUGAGAGCUUUGUGUUGGCGGCGGGCCUGGUGACGGAGCAGCCUGCAGGCCGGUGGCCCUACAGACCGAUGGGACGGGAGCUCGUCGGGACGGGAGCUCGUCGGCACGGGAGGCUUUCUGCCCAGAGAUGUCUGUUGCUCUGAUGGAUGAAAUCGGGCUUUGAACUCUGCACACCUGGGAAAAGUCGCCAACAGGCACUCGUGUUCUGUGAGUCCAGCUGUGUCCUCGGUCCCCAGACCCCACCUGGCUCCUGCGACAUGAGAGCUCAGGGAAGGUCUGCUGGUGGGCAGUGAGGACCAAGCCCUGUGAGACCAGGAAAGCUGGCAAGGACUCUGUCUCCCAGGGCUUCGUCAAGGAGAAGGCGGAAAACGAACGUUAAAACCCGCACACACUCAGCACGCUGUGUUCACGUGUAGUCCCCGGGCCACUCGCCCCUGCUCGUUCCUGGGUUCGCGAGGCCCUGCCUGUCGGCCUCCAGGGUCCUCGGUUCGGUCUACGCCUCCCGCGCCUCGGUCCACGUCUUUCCACUUUGGACCGGGGCCGGCGCCUCGCGGGACCCGCCGUGAGCGCCGAGUAGAUGCUUCUAAAAAUAAAGGAAAUCCGAUGAGACCACGUCCCUGCUCAAAGCUUGUCAGCGGCUCCCUCGCGCCCCCGGGACAAAACCCAAUGCUUUCGUCAUGAAGCUGAUGCCUCCUCGGGCUCAGAUGGCUGUCCGCUCCCCCCACCCCGCCCCCGCACGCAGGAGGAACCCAGCCUCGGCCCUGCUGAGUAACACACCCCAUUAGUCCCACCGGAGGACCAGCUCUUACUCAACCAGACAGAAUCCCGAGACGAUAAAUCUUCGUCGUUGACGCCCCCCAGUCCGUGGUGCUUUGCUGCAGCAGCCCUAGCAAGCGAACACGACCCGGAUGCACCAGAAGGCAGGGAGAGGCCAAGGGAAGACUCGGGAGAAUGUGGAAUCCUGGGCGCCGAGGAAAGACAGCGCCUGAGCGUGGAAGCGGUCGCCCAGGGCUGCCCAGAGCCAGGCCAAGGGAGGAUGAGGGAUGUCUCUUUUACGUGGCAGCACGUCGUCUGAUGACCUUGGAAGGGUAGUUUUAUGGAAGGGCAGAGGCCAGAGCCAGCGGGGUGGGGCACGAAGCAAGGCAGCAUCUCCGGAGGGGAAUUCAGCAUGGAAGACUCCUCGGAAAGACAGGCCCUUGGAAAUAAUUUGUAUGCCCGUAAGACCCACAGACGGAGGGGAAAACCGAGGGUGCUGGAGAGAGGGGAUACCUGACGGGAAGGCCCUCGAGACAGACAGCGAGAGGCCCCUCGGAAGGACACGGGCUGUCAUUCAGGGUGACGAGGAGAAAGGCUGAGCGUGAGGGGCAGAGAGGCUGAUCUUAAAUUGAGUGUAGUUUCUUGUGUUCUCGGUGAUUAAACAGAAUUUAAGCAGAGGAGAUUUUUUUUUAAACAAAUGUACGAGUCAAUGAUCACACGUGGAGUCCAGACGAGAAGAGGGUGUGCUGCUCGGGGAGGAGGCAGGGCCGCAGCAGCAGGGGAAGGUGUGAACCGUGCCGUUUGCAACUGCGAAAUAGCCAUUUAAGGGGACAGAUGGAAAUGGCAUUGUUUGCCAAAGUCGCCGGGACAGCAGAACUGGAGUUUUGACAGCAGGCGGUGGGGGCUGUGACUCCAGGGGCUCCACUCCCAGGUGACUCAGGGAGCUGUCCCUGUGUCGCUGACUGACCACCUCAGCCGAUGGGAAGGGUCAAGGCAAUGAUACGUUUUGAAAAUAGUACAUGUGGUGGUUCAAAAUCUGCCAUAUUUAAUUCGAAGGUGAUAAAUAGAUCCUCUUUACCUCGUUUCUUCCCACCUACCUGGGAUUGAGACCCUGCCUCUAGAGCAAGGAAUUCUGGGAGUUCAGUAGCAGCACGACCUUGGCUCCUGGUAGCUGUUGACCUGUGGCCAAUUGCACAAUAACAAUAAUAAUAUAACAAUAAUAAAUGUAUCGAGCUCUUGCUAUGUGCCGGGCCCUGAGCUGAGCACUUCAAGUCUGUUUUCUUCUUUAAUCCUUAUGCAGAACUGUGAGGUAUAGACAAUCAGCCUUCACAUUUUACUCAAAAGAAUCCGAGGCUCCCAGCAGUUAAGCGACAUGCAGUGUGAUAGACGUGCGCUUGCUCUAGGUGACUAAGUCACCCCAGUGUGACAGAGGUAGCCCUUGAAGCCACAUAUUCCGUUUAACUUCUCCGAGCCUCAGUUUGCUCGUCGUAAAGCGGGACUAGAAACACUCGCACGCAGGAGCGUCCUGGGUUCCCUGACGUGACGUAGCGGUAGAGGUUCGACGCCGGAAAUGUAGGCAUUUUAAUAAAGGACGGGAGAGAGGAAGAGAAAAGUGAUGACCACGACCAUCAAGCCAUAAAUGAGAGUCGGUGAAAUUCUGGGUAUUGGUCGGAGAGAGUUGGUGCGGGGUGUUUUGACUUCGUGCCUCGAACCCCAUGACGUAUAGUCGUUCUUCAACGUGGUUUUAAUUUUCAGGGCCAGGACCAGGGCGAAUGAGGCACCAGCUUCCGUGCAACGUUAAGGGGACCCCAAAAACUUCAGUUAUCAAGGUGAAUUGUAGUCGCCAUGCUGUACAUUACAUGUCAGGACUCACGCCUGCUCUGUCCAGCUCCCCACACCCCCUCGCCAGGCAUCAGGCAUCCUCGUUGUGGAUGGAAUUCGGUCACAGCUGCGUCACCCAGCCCUCGACUCCAGCGCUUGACUCCACUCUCUCUCAGGCGGCCUGCCACACACUUAAUCAGUAACCAGGUCCUACCGGUUUUAACUCCAAAAGGCCCUUGAAGCUGUCCCCACCUCUCUGUUACCUCUGCCCCAGCUCAGACCCUCCUCAGAUUUCACCCGGUCUCGGAUGUGUCCUCAGAUGUGUCCUCAGAUGUGUCCUCAAAUGCGCCCUUCCCCACCCCCAUUGGACUUUCGGGGGCCUCUUCUGCUCAAACACCUGGCUCCUAGACCCAGCUCCUGCGCCCUCCCUGCUCAGACCCUGCCGUCUUUCUGACUUGCGCUUUGUUGUCUAGCAACAGUCAACUGCUGUUUUCCUGACCGCAAAAUGUUGCUUUUCAGUUCCAAAUCUGGGCUCACGAGGUUCCCGGGUUUGUCACGCCUUCCUCCCCUUCAUCUGGCUCAGAUCCCGUGGCAUGUCCUCCAGGAAGCCUGCCCAGAUCUUCCUCUCUCUCAAACUGAGUUAGAGCUGCGGAAGGCGAAAUGGAACCGGGAACUCGGAGUUGGUGACUGGGAGGGAUCAGAAACCGCCUGGAGAGGCUCGGAUCAGACAGAGAGCCGCCCGGAUGGACAGUCCCGCAGAUGGGGCAGCUACCUCGCUACGUCCCGCUGCUGUGGGUUCAGAAGCCACCAAACCAGAGGCAAAGCGAAGCGGUUAUUCAUUCCCUCAGCCAGGGCUUUCUGAACAUCUCCUUGGGAGCAGGGGCUGGGGACGCGGCGGUGAACCGAGAAGGUUCAUUGUCCCUGUUCUCAGCGAGCUCACUGGGAGUGGGGUGGGGGUGGGGGGGACAGAAAACACCAGAGCAAGCGCAGGACUAUGUCAUUACACUUGGUAAUGAGAUCUGUGAAGGGACUAAACAGGAAAUGGCAGGUAGGCAGGGCAGGUCUCUCUUCAGAAGUGGUUUUCAAGGGGAAGGCGGCGAGGACAGGGAGGAGGAGCCACAGUGCAGGUGAGCGGGGGGAGGGGCAGA